rnacentral:rRNA from 1 species
GGGCGAAAGCCUGACGGAGCAAGACCGCGUGGGGGAGGAAAGCCUUUGGGUUGUAAACCCCUUUUCUCAGAAAAAAAAAAAGUGACGGUACCUGAGGAAUCAGCCUCGGCUAACUCCGUGCCAGCAGCCGCGGUAAUACGGAGGAGGCAAGCGUUAUCCGGAAUGAUUGGGGGUAAAGCGUCCGCAGGGGGCUAAUCAAGUCUGCUGUUAAAUCCCGUGGCUUAACUCCCGAGGGGCAGUGGAAACUGAUGAGCUAGAGUGCGGUAGGGGCAGAGGGAAUUCCCGGUGUAGCGGUGAAAUGCGUAGAGAUCAGGAAGAACACCCGUGGGGAAAGCGCUCUGCUGGGCCGCAACUGACACUCAGGGACGAAAGCUAGGGGAGCGAUUGCGGUUUGAUACCCCCGUAGUCCUAGCCGUAAACGAUGGAUACUAGGUGUUGCCUGUAUCGACCCGGGCAGUGCCGUAGCUAACGCGUUAAGUCUCCCGCCUGG